rnacentral:lncRNA from 1 species
CCAACUGCCAAGCUCUCCAGAGGAGCUUCCUUCUGCGUCCCCGGGCCUUGAUCCCCGCCUCUCCCGCAGCCUCGCCUGUGCGGCAGCCCUGGGCACCCUGGGCUGGGGCUGCUAGGUGGCGGCUCACCCGCUCACGGGCUGCUGUUGGCAGCUGUUCCGGACCGGGGUCUCCUGGAAGCUGCAGUUUCGCCUCCGGGUGUUUGAAGCAAAUCCUAGGUAUCCAGGCACUUGAAUCUUAGACCCUUCAGAGUGCACUUUUGAAAGGAUCUCAGUAAGCUGCCAUGUCUGAAAGUUCUACUAUAUUCCACUAACACUAGGGGCUGAGAACUGAGCUUCUCACACAUGGGCCCUUGGGGGAUACUUCUUCAAGCCACAGCACCAUGUAGAUACCCUUCCCCUAAAAAGGUUCCUGUUUUGGGGAGCCUGUGUCCCCCUGUCAGAGGAUGAAAUUGUGAGAAGAGUAAUAAGACUUUGCUGUGUUGGAAGGGCUCCCUGGAAGAGAAGGGAGAGCAAAGAAAAUUUCUUAGAAGAAAGGAUCAAUAACCUAACAAAUAUUGAAUGCAGGGCACUGUGCCAGAUUCCACAUGGAAGUCUGAAGGCAGAUGCCAGUUUAUGGCACAGAGGCCCUAAAAGCCUUGGAAUAGGCUGAGUGAUGAGAGACUCUUGGCAGAUGGGCAAUUAAACAGCUGCAGGAGGGACUGGAGGCUGGAGCGCCCAGACCUUGGCUAGGAACUACCAGUCCUAUCAUCAGUCUGCUGCCAAGGAACUGAGGCUCAACACUGUGUCAGUCACCAAUGGCCAUGGUCAUGCCUGGGCAAUGAAACCUGCCUCGAAACCCCCACAAGACGAUUGGAGUUUCAGAAGGUUCUGAGUGGGUAAACAUAUCUAUGUGCUGGGACAGUGGUGUACCCUAAUGGUACGGAGACAGAAGCCCCUCUACUGGCAACCCUUCUGAGCCUUCAUAUACCC